GGUCAUGAGCGUCUCCGCCAAGCCCCGGCUGGGAGACCGGCAACCCUCCGUCCGUGGCGGGGUGCCCCGGGUGACGACCAGGCCGUCGUGCGCCGCGGGCGCCUACA
rnacentral:ncRNA from 2 species